UACAGAGGGUGCGAGCGUUAAUCGGAAUUACUGGGCGUAAAGCGCACGUAGGCGGCAUUGCAAGUCGGGUGUGAAAUCCCCGGGCUCAACCUGGGAACUGCAUCCGAGACUGCCUUGCUUGAGUAUGGGAGAGGGAAGCGGAAUUUCCGGUGUAGCGGUGAAAUGCGUAGAUAUCGGAAGGAACACCAGUGGCGAAAGCGGCUUCCUGGACCAAUACUGACGCUCAUGUGCGAAAGCGUGGGGAGCAAACAGG
rnacentral:rRNA from 1 species